GACUGCGCAUGCGCGGUGACUCGCCUCCUGUUCGGCCAGCAGGGCCCGGGCCUCCCGCUGUCGCUGCUCGUCCUGCGCCUGUGCCUCGUCCCGCCGCACGCGGGCCACAUUGUCCUUGUUCCGCACGUGCCACGACUUCUUCGCAGGGGCACCCAGGCGAUGGCCAGGCCCAGCAGCAGAACCAGCAGGAAGAAGAAGCUGGAGCUGGAGGCGCGGAAGGUGCGGUCGGCCGGGCGGCAGUUCGAGAACAGGCGGCAGGUCCUGCAGGAAUCGGCGUCGGGGUCCCCGUUGCAGGUGAUCUGGCUCCAGAGGGAGAAGAGGAGAACAAGGAGGCUGGAGAGACGCAGGAACACGGUCCUGCCACAGAGAGAGAGGGGCUGGUUAGACGGG